UACGUAGGGGGCGAGCGUUGUCCGGAUUUAUUGGGCGUAGAGCGAGCGCAGGUGGUUUAUUAAGUCUGGUGUAAAAGGCAGUGGCUCAACCAUUGUAUGCAUUGGAAACUGGUAGACUUGAGUGCAGGAGAGGAGAGUGGAAUUCCAUGUGUAGCGGUGAAAUGCGUAGAUAUAUGGAGGAACACCGGUGGCGAAAGCGGCUCUCUGGCCUGUAACUGACACUGAGGCUCGAAAGCGUGGGGAGCAAACAGG
rnacentral:rRNA from 1 species